rnacentral:tRNA from 1 species
AUUUAUAUAGUAUAAAAAAUUACAUUUAAUUUCCAAUUAAAAUAUUUAAUAACUAAAAUUAAUAUAAAUA